rnacentral:tRNA from 1 species
UCUCCUGUAGCUCAGUGGUAGAGCGUCCGACCGGUGUACAGAAGGUCAUAGGUUCGACUCCUGUUGGGAGAG